CAGUUUUUUAUCUUCCUCAUGUGACAAAAUACUGAAACAUACCUAUUUUGCCCCCACAAUUACCAGUUAUUUUAUAUCUUACUAGUCCAGUAAAUCCAAAAGUCAAUUAGCUAAAUAUACUCCUUCAUGAGAUGAACCUAUUUUCAGGGCAGGAAUAGAGAUGCAGAUGUAGAGUAAGGAUGUGUGGACAUGGAGUGGGAGGGAGGAGGAGAUGGAAUGAACUGGAAGAUUGGGAUUGACAUACGUACAGCUACCAUGUGUCAAACAGACAAUUAGUGGGAAGCUGUUGUAUCGCACAGGAAGCUCAGCUGCAUGCUCUGUGAUGACCUAGGGGUGUGGAAUGGAGGGUGGCAGGAAGAAAGUUCAAGAGGGAGGGGGUAUAUAUACACAUAUAUGGCUGAUUCACUUUGUUGUAUAGCAGAAACAAAACACUGUAAAGCAAUUAUAUCUCAAUUUUAAAAAUGAGUUAAGCAUGAGCCCACACAGACACACUUAAAAAACUUUUGUGGAAAGACUCCUGUGCUAGCAGGCUUCCAAUACGUCUUUAGUGAUCCCUGCCUUCUGGUAUACACACCCUUGUGGGCCCCUCCGACACGGUACCAGGGAUUGUCUGUAUGACCAAGAGAACACAGGAAAAAUGAUGGCACAUCACUCCUGAGAUAAGUCAUACAAGGCUGUUCAGCUGUCACAUGGUUGCUCUUUCAUUCUUCCAUCCCUCUCUCUGCAAGAAGCCAGCUGCCAUGUCACAAGUAACACGACAGAGAGGUCCUUGUAAUGGGAACUGAGGCUUCCUGCCCACAGCCAGAAUCCCUCAUCGUGGCUGUCAGAUCCUAACUAGGCCCAUCCGUAUCUCAACAGAGGAGCAUGUCUUAUAUUCACAGAGAAAACAGAAGCAACAGACAGAAUCUCUUUUAUGAGACUGAUGGGCUGCCCACUGCACUAAGAAGCCAACUCAGCCAAGGAGAGGAAAAGACAAGUCAGAAUUACAAGGCCUAACUCCUUCAUCCCAGGAUCCUUGCCUGCGGAAUGAGGAGAGGGGGCUGGGGACCAUGCCUCCAUUUUGUCAGUAAUGCCUCAUGCGGCUCCCGACAGACUAUGUCAAGGCUAUGGUUUCUCCUGUGGUCAUGUAUGGAUGUGAGAGUUGGACUGUGAAGAAAGCUGAGUGCCGAAGAAUUGAUGCUUUUGAACUGUGGUGUUGGAGAAGACUCUUGAGAGUCCUUGGACUGCAAGGAGAUCCAACCAGUCCAUUCUGAAGGAGAUCAGCCCUGGGAUUUCUUUGGAAGGAAUGAUGCAAAAACUGAAACUCCAGUACUUUGGCCACCUCAUACAAAGAGUUGACUCAUUGGAAAAGACUCUGAUGGUGGGAGGGAUUGGGGGCAGGAGGAGAAGGG
ensembl:lncRNA